rnacentral:rRNA from 1 species
UACGAAGGGUGCAAGCGUUACUCGGAAUUACUGGGCGUAAAGCGUGCGUAGGUGGUUUGUUAAGUCUGUUGUGAAAGCCCCGGGCUCAACCUGGGAAUGGCAAUGGAUACUGGCAGGCUAGAGUGCGGUAGAGGGUAGUGGAAGUUCCCGGUGUAGCGGUGAAAUGCGUAGAGAAUCGGGAGGAACACCAGGUGGCGAAGGCGGCUACCUGGACCGAGCACUGACACUGAGGCACGAAAGCGUGGGGAAGC